GUAACUACGCGUAUUGAGAUGGUUGCUCAGAAUGGCAACAGCUUUUGUCAAGCACAUGGGGAGAUUGUCUGAAGAAGAUUCUUGGCAGUUGUUUCAACAGCUUGCAUUCGGGAUGAGAAGGAAAGAGGAGCGGGCACGCCUGGAAGCCAUUGGAGUAUCAAUAGUGAAGAAGUGUGGUGGUGUUCCUUUAGCUAUAAAGGCACUAGGGAACCUAAUGCGGUUAAAAGAAAGUGAAGAUCAGUGGAUAGCUGUCAAAGAAAGUGAGAUUUGGGAUCUAAGAGAAGAAGCAACGAGAUCUUACCUGCUUUGAGGUUGAGUUACUAAUCUAUCACCACAUUUGAAGCAAUGCUUUGCGUAUUUCGCUAUAUUUCCAAAAGAUCACGUGAUGAGGAGGGAGGAGCUGGUUGCUUUGUGGAUGGCAAAUGGCUUUAUUUCUUGCAGAAAGAAAUGGAUUUGCACGUCAUGGGCAUUGAGAUAUUCAAUGAACUAGUGGGAAGGUCAUUUCUGCAAGAGGUCGAGGAUGAUGGAUUUGGCAACAUAACAUGUAAAAUGCAUGAUCUUAUGCAUGAUCUUGCACAAUCCAUUGCAGUACAAGAAUGCUAUAACAGAAGGCGAUGGGAGUUGGAAAUUCCUAAAACUGCCCGUCAUGUUGCUUUUAUAACAAAUCAGUAGCUUCGUCUUCUAAGUUCUCAAGGUCCUAUCACUUCGCUCACUUCUUUGAGGAAUGAAGAGUAUGGAUGGAUGGGGAAAGAUUCCUGGUCGAAAACAUCGAGCCUUGAGUUUAAGAAUAUCCGGGUGAAGAAAUUGCCGAAGUCAAUUUGUGAUUUGAAACAUCUAAGGUAUCUAGAUGUGUCAGGCUCGAAGAUCAAAACACUGCCUGAAAGUACAACCUCUCUCCAAAACCUCCAGACACUAGAUCUGAGAGAUUGCAAUAACUCAUCCAAUUACCAAAAGGUAUGAAGCACAUGAAAAGUCUUGUCUAUCUUGACAUCGGGUUGUUAUUCACUUCGAUUUAUGCCUUGUGGAAUGGGGCAAUUGAUAUUCCUGCGAAAACUUACCCUGUUCAUUGUGGGUGGGAGAAUGGUCGUCGCAUAAGUGAGCUGGAAGGGCUGAAUAAUCUUGCUGGUGAAUUGAGUAUCACAGAUCUUGUGAAUGUUAAGAAUUUAAAAGAUGCCAAAGUGCCAAUUUGAAGUUGAAGACAGCUCUUUUAUCACUGACUUUAUCUUGGCAGGAAUGGAGAUUACCUUUUUGGCCCUCUGUCAUAUGUGCCACCAGAACAAAGAAAGAGUGUGGAUAUGGAGGUCCUUGAAGGGCUUCAACCUCAUUCAAAUCUGAAGAAGUUGAGGAUAUAUGGAUAUGGAGGUUCAACAUUUCCUAAUUGGAUGAUGAAGCUACCAUAUCUGGUAGAGAUGGAGCUAUCAGCGCACCACUGUGAACAACUUCCACCAUUGGGGAAACUACAGUUCCUCAAGAGUCUUAAAUUAUGGGGAAUGGAUGGUGUGAAGAGUAUUGACAGCAAUGUGUAUGGAGAUGGGCAGAAUCCAUUCCCAUCUUUGGAGACGCUGGCUUUCUAUUCAAUGGAGGGAUUAGAGCAAUGGGCUGCGUGUACUUUUCCUUGCCUUCGAGAUUUGAGGAUAGUCGGUUGCCCUGUGUUGAACGAAAUACCAAUUAUACCCUCCGUCAAAACAUUACACAUCACGGGAGUGAAUGCUUCGUUGCUGAUGUCAGUUAGGAAUCUCACUUCUAUCACCUCCCUUGAUAUAGGAGGGAUUCACGCUAUAAGGGAGCUUCCCGAUGGGUUUUUGCAAAAUCAUACCCUCCUUGAAAGCUUAGAAAUUGGUGGGAUGCGAGAUCUGGAGUCUUUGUCAAAUAGGGUAUUAGAUAACCUUUCUGCUCUUAAAAGCUUGAGGAUUUUUGAAUGCGAGAAACUUGAAAGCUUGCCAGAGGAAGGUCUUCGUAACCUCAAUUCCUUGGAGCUUUUAAGCAUAAAGUAUUGUGGAAGAUUAAAUUGUCUGCCAAUAAAUGGGAUGUGUGGCUUAUCUUCUCUUCGCGAGUUAUCUAUUGGAAGUUGUGAUAAAUUCACAUCUCUAUCAGAGGGAGUGCGGCAUCUGACGACACUUGAGGAUUUGAAGCUUGAAGGAUGUCCAAAGCUGAAUUCAUUGCCAGAGAGUAUCCAACAUCUCACUUCACUCCAAUCUCUAAGAAUAUGGAACUGCGAGGGAUUAGCUUCUUUGCCAAAUCAGAUUGGAUAUCUCACUUCUCUCCAAUCUCUAUACAUUCGGGGUUGUCCAAAUUUGAAGAAAAGGUGUGAGAAAGAUUUAGGCGAGGACUGGCCUAAGAUAGCUCACAUUCCUAGCAUUGACAUUAGAUGAGAAUAAAUUUUAUUUUUUUAGUUUUAAUUUGUUGUAAUUUUUUAAAUAACUUUAUCAAAUUCAUUAUUGUUAUAUUUUUCAUAUAAAUGUGUAAAAAUAAUUGAUUCAUGAUUAUUAUGGGGACAUUGGGGAUUGUGAUAGAUUAUUGUAUAGAGAUUAGACUUUUUGGCAUCGCAUUUAUGGGUAUAAAGAUUUUAUUGUAAUUUCCUUCCUCACAUAUUUUCUUUUGGUGAAAUUGCUUUUAGCUAAAGAUUACAUGAACCACGCUACGCAAACUGGAAAAAAAAAUCUUGGCAUUCAAACAUAUUUUAAAAAACAAGAAAAUGUUGGGAUCUGGAUCAUCAACUCGGCUAGGCUAGAUCAAAUAAGUUUCUCCUAUCUCACAACAUCUUAUGCACCAAACAAAGAAAUCAAAAUAGCGACCAUUUUAAGAAAAAAUAACAUUAAUAAAAAAAUAACAAAAAUACAUUUUAAUCUAACAGGUGUCAUAAAAGAAUUGAGAAUCCAAGGGGAAGAAAUGAUCUAAGCAAACCCCAAGUGCGCUUCUGGACAUGCAACCCAUGUAUAAGAUAAUGAUAAUUUUUUAAAAAUCUUUUAAAAAAUAAAAAAUAGAAUACAAAGCGUAUAAACAGAAAAAAAAAAAAUAUUGUGAUCUUUCUAACACUCUUGAAUGGGCAAUUUUCAUUAUCUCCUCUCGAUGUUCCACCUAAAACAUGUAGAGUGAUUUAACAUGAUGACCCGUUAACAAAAUGCACCAACAAUAAUUUUUAUUUAAAUAUUAUUUUUUAAAUAUCAAACUGGCCCUGUUUUAACCCACAAUUACAAAAUAAUUGAAUUGAAAAGACAAAUAUACCCUUUCACCCUAGUUUAAAAAAUCUUGACUUAAGGAUGUAAUUAAGUAAAUAAAUUGUUCAUUUGAAAAGUAGAAAACGGGCCGGCCCUUGUCUUGACCCAAUGAUUACCAAAAGACCAAAAAAAAAAAUUACGAGUAACCUUAAGAACACAGUUAAAAUAUAUUUGUUUUAAAGGGCAACAAAGUUAAUUCAUUAUGUUUUUUUAAUUAAAAAAUUAUAAUCACCCCUCAAUUGAAGCAAUUUUUAUUGCAUAUCAAGGGCAUCUGAGUCAUUACACUAUAUAAUAUAUAUAUAAAAAUACAUUCUAGAUCCUAAUCAAAUUAAUAAUGAUAGAUAUGUCCAAUUACAAUUGGACCCUGAAAAUAAUGUAAAUGAGUUUUUUAAGGUUAAAAUAAUAAAUAUACUAUUGUCGUCCACAUUUCUCUAAGUUUGUGUGCGCAGUAAAUUCAAAAUUUGUUUUAGUUUUUUUUAUGUAACUUUAUUUUUUUGUUAAUUUUUAAAUAUUUUUGAAUUCACACCUCUUUUAUUUAAUGAAACAGGCCGCAUACUAUUUUCAGAGAUCCGUUUAAGAGGGGCAAUAGCAUCCUUGUGAGUGCAAUUUUGUUCCCUUAUAUCUUUCCACUUGAUAUCGCCACCACAGCUUGAUCUCAUUCUCUCCGAUGUUGAUGUUUAUUGGAUUAGUCAUAUGUGAAGCUUAAACUCAAGAUGUUGUUGCUGAAGGGCUCUGGUAUUUUAUUUUAAUUUUAUCCUAAUCCACCCUUACUUUCUUCAUUCUUUUUUCUUAUAAGAUAACUGCAAAGUGUUUUAUAAUUAUGAUUAAUGAGCAAUCUGAUAAAAAAAACCAGGAAUGACCUUGAGCAAGAAUACAUCUAUUGGUUGGUCUCUUGGUGGUUAUCCUGGUCCUCCGGGACCAUACUACUGUGGUGUUGGUGUUGACGAAGCCUUCGGCAUUGUUGAUGCACAGUAGACGGCAUGCCUGUAUGCCGGUAUGAACAUUAGUGGUAUGAACGGAGAAGUGAUGUCGGGCGAGGUAAAAUAAAAGAACGAGCAUAUCCCCUCUACCAUUUUGAUCUUACAGUUCUAGUUUAGAACCAUUCUAAUCUUGUUCUGUCUUACAACGUUAAAGUGGAAAUUUCAUGCAGUGGAAAUUUCACGCUGGACCUUCAGUCGGUAUCUCUGUUGGAGAUGAAUUAUGGGCUGCAGCUCGGUACAUUCUGGAACUAUUCCCAUUUCUAUUGUUUUCUGAAAUGUCUAUAUUUAUGUUAACAGAGGAUUACUGAGGUUGCUGGAGUUGUGCUUUCAUUCGAUCCUAAGCCAACUCAGGUCAGUUUUUAUUUCAUCGUACCCUACUGGAUGCUGCCAGUGUGCAUGUUUUCAGUACUUUUAUUGUCUGAGCUCUCAGGAAAUUGGACUUCUGUUUUGUCAAGAAGAUUGGAAAGGAGCGGGGGCACACAAAAAUUACAGGUUCAAAUUUUUUUCGUUGAUUGAAGCUUAAUUUAUUUGCUUCUUUGUUCCACACUUGCUAUUUUUUUUUUAAUCUUAUACUUGAAAAUUCUUCACAUUUUCUGUGCUAUGUCUAUGAGAAAUGAAGGAGGCUGUGAAGUCAUCAAGAAAGCAGUUGAAAAGCUUGGUAUGAGGCAUAAAGAACAUAUCGCAGUCUAUGGCGAAAGGGAUUGAGCAGAGACUUGUUAAUUAUUUGGAGACAAACCAUGUCCCACCAUGUGCAAGUGGGAAUCCCCCACUUUGCACACGGUGGAGGCAACGGUGGACACAAAUGAUGAUGUCCUUCCCUCAUCCCUUGUAUAUGUAUAUGAGCUGUGUGUGUGCAUGUAUAACAGUGUGUGAAGAGAAGAAGAGAGAGUUGCAGUUGUGUGAAACACAAAGAGAAACACAUAGAGAGAGCUAGGGAGAGUUGAGUUGAGUUGAGAAGAAUUUUCUCAUCCUCCUUGUUUUGUUGUUUGUAUUGUUUGUAAGCUUGAUUAAUACAAACCAAUAGCUCCGUGGAGUAGGCAAGUUGCCGAACCACGUAAAUUGUGUGUGUUUGAGUUCUGGAAAUAUCCCAACAACUGGUAUCAGAGCUUGUUCUUGACGAAGAGGGUGUUUGAUCCAAACUCAAAAAUCAAUGUUCUCAAAACGUGUUUUUGACCAUACCAUCGUGUAGAGGACAACCGGACGAAUCCACUGGUGAAAACCCGGCGAAGAACCGACGUCCUGCAUGCCCGCACGCGCCACCGCACAGACGGCCCACGCGCAGCAACGCGCCUCACGCGCGACACGCUCCUUCUUCACCCGUUUUUCUGCAAAACGGGUCGGGUCUGACCCGCCACGUCAGCCAAGUCGCACGGUCAACGCCACGUCACCUGCCACGUCAUCCAUCUGGGUUUUGAUCUGGUGCACCGCAGAUGGUAAUCGUCUGACACGUGGCUGCAUCAUCACCGUCGAAGGGUUUGAUCCGGUGCGACUCAGGCUCUAAUCGGAGGACACGUGGACUAAUCUGCACCGUCACUGAGUUUUGAUCCGGUGCGACUAAAGGCUGUAAUCUGCUGACACGUGGCUUCAUCAGAACCGCUACUGAGUUUUUAUCCGGUGUGACGCAUGCCUUACUCUGUCUGACACGCGGCUGCAUCUGAACCGUCCGUUAAUCCAAAACUUUAAUUGCUAAAAUCUGAGCCAUCCAAAGUCCGAUUGGGGUGAUCUCAGUGUCAUUUCCAAGGUUUUUGGCCGUUCCGGACACAUCUGUAAGGUCAGAUUUGGCAAAUUCUAAUCAGAGAAAUAUUAAAAAUGGCAGAUGAAAUAAAGGCUGCAGGAAUUGAAAAAUUUGACGGAACAGAUUUUGGAUACUGGAAAAUGCAGAUUGAGGAUUAUUUAUAUGGGAAGAAACUUCAUCUUCCCUUAUUGGGAAGCAAACCAGAAAAGAUGGAAGAAGAAGAAUGGCAACUUCUUGAUAGACAAGUUCUGGGCAUUAUCCGGCUAUCGUUAUCAAGAAGAGUUGCUCACAAUGUUACGAAAGAAAAAUCCACUGCAAAAUUGAUGGAAGCCUUGUCUGGGAUGUAUGAGAAGCCAUCAGCAAAUAAUAAAGUGCACCUGAUGAAAAAGUUGUUCAACUUGAAGAUGGUCGAAAACGCUUCUGUGACACAACACCUCAACAACUUUAAUACCAUCACAAAUCAAUUAUCAUCUGUUGCGAUUGAGUUUGAUGAUGAGAUUCGUGCACUCAUCUUGCUAGCUUCACUUCCAAGCAGUUGGGAAGGCAUGAGGACAGCCGUGAGCAAUUCAGCUGGAAAAUCCAAACUGAAGUAUGAUGACAUUCGAGACUUGAUUUUGGCUGAAGAAGUGCGAAGGAAAGACUCGGGUGAAAGUUCAAGCUCAGGAUCAGCUCUCAACAUCAACACUCGAGGGAGGAGACACGAUAGAGGCUCAUCCAGAGGCAGAUCAAAAUCCAGAUACAGAAGUAAAAGCAAGUUUGGAUCCAGAAAGCAGGUUGAAUGUUGGAAUUGUGGCAAACCUGGUCAUUUCAGUAGGAAUUGCACAAAACCGAAGAAACCUGAAGUUGACUCUGCAAACGCUACCACAGAUGAGGUACAAGAUGCUUUAAUUCUUGCUGUGCAAAGUCAAAUUGAUGAGUGGAUUCUUGAUUCUGGUGCUUCAUUCCACUGUACGCCACACAAUGAAAUACUGCAAAAUUAUGUUGGAGGAGAUCAUGGUGUAGUCUAUCUGGCCGAUGGAACACCACUGAAGAUUGUGGGUAUAGGAGAUGUGCAAAUCAAGACAAUGAAUGGACCUUGUAGAAUGUAAGGCAUGUUCCUGAAUUAAAGAAGAAGUUGAUCUCUGUCGGACAACUUGAUGAUAGUGGUCAUUCAAUACUUUUUGCUGGAGGAAUGUGGAAAGUAUCAAAGGGAGCAAUGGUUUUAGCUCGUGGAAAGAAAACCGGCACCCUGUAUAUGACCACAAGAUUUGCAGACAUCAUUGCCUCAACUGAAGCAGAAAAUCAAGCACAUCUAUCGCAUUGUAGACUUGGCCAUAUGAGUCAAAAGGGGAUGAAGAUAUUUAGUCGAAGGGAAAGCUGCCAGAGUUAAAAAAUGUCGAUCUAGACAUUUGUGAAAGCUGUGUUCUUGGAAAACAGAAGAAGGUCAGUUUCUUGAAGGUUGGCAGGACCUUACGACCAAGAAAGCUAGAACUGGUACACACAGAUUUAUGGGGACCGUCUCCAGUAGCAUCUCUUGGAGGUUCUCGGUAUUAUGUGACUUUCAUUGAUGACUUCAGCAGGAAGGUAUGGGUUUACUUUCUGAAAAAUAAAUCUGAUGUGUUUGAAACAUUCAAGAAAUGGAAGGCUAUGGUUGAGACUGAAUCAGGUCUAAAGUUGAAAUGCUUGAGAUCUGAUAAUGGAGGAGAAUACAUUGAUGGAGGUUUCAAGGAGUAUUGUGCUGUCAAUGGUAUCAGAAUGGAAAAGACCGUUCCAGGCACACCGCAACAGAAUGGCGUUGCUGAACGGAUGAACAGGACCAUCAAUGAACGAGCUAGAAGCAUGAGGUUGCAUUCAGGGUUACCUCAAACAUUCUGGGCUGACGCAGUUCAUACCGCAGUUUACUUGAUCAACCGUGGACCAUCAGUUCCUUUGGAAUUCAGAUUGCCCGAGGAAGUAUGGAGAGGAAAAGAGGUACGACUCUCUCAUUUGAAGGUCUUUGGGUGUGUUUCCUAUGUUCACAUAGAUUCUGAUGCUCGCAACAAGUUAAGCCAAAUCCAAGAAAUGUUUCUUCAUUGGCUAUGGAGAUGAAGAAUUUGGAUUUCGGUUCUGGGAUGAUCAGAAUAGAAAGAUUAUCAGAAGCAGGAACGUGAUCUUCAAUGAGAAAGUUAUGUACAAAGACAGAUCAAGUGAGAAACAGAGAUGGCUGAUUCAGAUACAAGUCCACAAAGAUCUGAAUUCAUAAGAUUAGAAGGGCUUCCCGAUGUUACUAAGCAGAACAACAAUCAAGAGUCUUUACAAGAAGAUUCAAGCACAUCUGUGCCCACUUCCACACAAGAAGAUGCGGAGCAAUUGAACCAGCUGUUCGCAGGUCUUCGAGGACGAUAAAGCCCCCGCAACGGUUCACACUUUUACUGAAUUAUAUUUUGCUGACAGAUGGUGGUGAACCGUUACUUAUGAAGAAUCCUUACAAGAUGGAAACUCAAGCAAGUGGGAGUUAGCCAUGAAGGAUGAGAUGAGUUCGUUGCUGAAGAACAAGACUUGGGAGCUAACACAUUACCUGAAGGAAAGAAGGCCUUGCAAAAUAAGUGGGUUUACAGAGUGAAGACUGAGCAUGACGGAAGCAAACGGUUCAAGGCAAGACUUGUUGUCAAAGGGUUUCAACAAAGAAAGGCAUUGACUACUCUGAGAUUUUUUCUCCAGUUGUGAAGCUCACAACAAUCAGAGUUGUUCUGGGGAUAGUAGCUGCAGAAAAUUUACAUCUUGAACAGUUAGAUGUAAAAACAGCAUUCCUUCAUGGUGACUUGGAGGAAGAUAUUUACAUGCAACAGCCAGAGGGGUUUGCAAUGCAAGGAAAGGAGAAUCAAGUCUGCAAGCUACAGAAAAGCCUAUACGGUUUGAAGCAAGCUCCAAGACAGUGGUACAAGAAGUUUGACAACUUCAUGUGCAGUUCCGGGUAUACAAGAUGCCAAGCUGAUCAUUGUUGCUAUGUCAAACAUUUUGACAACUCCUACAUCAUUCUACUAUUAUAUGUAGAUGAUAUGUUGAUUGCAGGAUCCAGCAUUGAGGAGAUUGAUAAGCUGAAACAGCAGUUGUCGAAACAGUUUGAAAUGAAGGAUCUGGGAGCUGCUAAACAAAUACUUGGCAUGAGAAUCAUCAGAGAUAAAGACAAAGGCAUACUAAAGCUCUCACAAACAGAGUAUGUCAAGAAGGUUCUCAGCAGGUUUAGUAUGGAUAAUGCUAAACCAGUAAGUACACCACUGGGGAAUCAUUUCAAGCUCAGCAAAGAUCAGUCACCAAAACUGAGCUAGAAAGUGGAUACAUGGAUAAGAUUCCAUACGCCUCAGCUAUCGGCUCUUUGAUGUAUGCUAUGGUCUGUACCAGACCAGACAUUGCCCAUGCAGUGGGAGUUGUAAGCCGAUAUAUGAGCAAUCCUGGAAAGCAGCAUUGGGAGGGUGAAAUGGAUCAUGAGGUACUUAAAAGGUUCAUCGGAAACUUGUCUCAGUUUCACAGCUGGUGGUUUGAAACUUGAAGGUUUUGUAGAUGCUGAUCUAGCAGGAGAUGUUGAUAGCAGAAAGAGCACUACAGGAUAUGUUUAUACUCUAGGAGGUACUGCUGUUUCCUGGAGUUCUACCUUGCAAAAGAUCGUUGCUCUUUCAACAACAGAAGCUGAAUAUGUUGCAGUCUCAGAAUCUGCAAAAGAGAUAGUAUGGUUGCAGAGUUUCUUGAAAGAAUUGGGCAAGUUGAAUGGAAAAGGUACUUUGUAUAGCGACAGUCAGAGUGCAAUCUUCCUUGCCAAGAAUCCAGCAUUUCACUCCAGGACGAAGCAUAUUCAGAUCAAAUAUCACUUCAUCCGACAACUGCUGGACGACGAGCAACUAAUGCUAGAAAAGGUCUGUGGAAGCAAGAAUCCAGCAGACAUGUUAACCAAAGGAGUUACACUUGAGAAACUGAAGUUGUGCAAAACUUCAGUUGGCCUUCAAGGAUAAAAGAUAAUUUCAUUGUUUGUCUCCAAGUGGGAGAUUGUUAAUUAUUUGGAGACAAACCAUGUCCCACCAUGUGCAAGUGGGAAUCCCCCACUUUGCACAUGGUGGAGGACACAAAGUGGAGGCAACGGUGGACACAAAUGAUGAUGUCCUUCCCUCAUCCCUUGUAUAUGUAUAUGAGCUAUGUGUGUGCAUGUAUAACGGUGUGUGAAGAGAAGAAGAGAGAGUUGCAGUUGUGUGAAACACAGAGAGAAACACAUAGAGAGAGCUAGGGAGAGUUGAGUUGAGUUGAGAAGAAUUUUCUCCUCCUCCUUGUUUUGUUGUUUGUAUUGUUUGUAAGCUUGAUUAAUACAAACCAAUAGCUCCGUGGAGUAGGCAAGUUGCCGAACCACGUAAAUUGUGUGUGUUUGAGUUCUGGAAAUAUCCCAAGACUUACCGGACAGCGGCACGAAACAGAGGAUAUUAGUACUUUCAAUUGGGUAAGAGGGAAAAGAAACAAUUUCCUUGCUGCUUAAGUUCUUUUAUUAUAAGAUGUCUUACAUUAGUUUCUUUACAUCUUGUUCGAUUGACAAGGUUUUGCUAAUCGCAAAGCUUCCAUUUGUGUUGGCCGUGACAUAGAGAAAGAAGGAAAGGGGUAUUAUGAGGAAAUAAGGCCUGCUUCAAACAUGGAUCUAUAUCUUGCGACUUCCAUGAUUGUAGAAACCACCAUCCUGUGGAAGCCAUGAGAAUCUCAAGCAACACCUCAAACAAAAUAAUGUUGUUGGAAGUAGUACUUACAAGGAACCUUGGAAAGAUUUGUGUCAGUAGGAUGGAUAUCUUUCAAUUUGUUUCCAGUUGUAUUUGAGGCUGCAAGGGAUGUUAUUCCUUUGCUUGCUUGUCUUAUGAUUGAUUCGGCAUUUUGUGUUGAAUAAUGAAAUCUUAACUUUAAUCAUGUGAUGUUUUGUAUUAAAAAGAUUGGAAAAUAAAAUAAAGCCCUUGGAAGCUUAAAAAGAGGGUAUAAAUGAUUGAAGGGUAGUGUGGUAAUUGACCAAUAGUUGAUAAAUAUAAAUAAGAAAAAAAAAAAGAAUGAUAUGAUUUUGAGAGAAAGAGAGCUGCGGGAGAGAAAGGAAAAGAGGAAGAAGAAGAGAAGAAAAGAAAGGAGAGAAGGAAAGGAAGGAGAAGAGAAGUAGAUGAUAUAAGUAAAAAGGUAAGAUUUAUAGUUUUAAGUGUAUAAUAUGUUAAAUUUCGGUUUUGAUUAAUUUUGAGAGUUUUGAAGUUUGUAUUUUGAGUUAAUUGAUGAAUUAAUUUGAAGGUUAGGAGUUGAUUAUUGUGGGUAUUUGAUUAAUUAGUUGAUUUUGAGAGAUUGAAUUGAAGGAUAAUGAUUUUGAGUUAUGAUUUUGUUUAAAUGGGGAAAUUGUGUUAGAAAUCAGGGGAUAACAGUAGGUAAUCUGUUUAAAUUCUGGGUUUGAGGUUGAAGAUGACGAAAAUUCAAUUUGGUCCCUCAAUUUGCGGAAAUUGCAGUUUAGUCCCCGAACUUUGGAAAUUUUACAGAUUGGUCCCUGGGACAUAAAUUGAGGUUCUGAAAAGAACUGAGGAUGAUUUAAGGGCAAAAUUCCAGUAUAAUUAAUAUUUUCAGUUUGGUCCUCCAAUUUGACAAAUUACGAUUUGACCCCUAAUAUUUUGAUAAAAUCACAUUUUGGACCUUGGGGCAUAAUUCAAGAUUCUGGACAAAGAUAAGGACGAAUUAUGGAUAAAUUUCAGUAUGGAUAUAUAUUUACAAUUCGGUCCUCAAAUUUUGGUAAAAUUACGUUUUGGUCCCUGUUUUGGAAAAUUGUCGUUUUAGUCCCUAAACCUAGGAGAUUAAGCCCGGUUUUAUUUUAUGCAUUGGGAUCUUUUGUUUGAUUUUUUUUUGAGUAUAUUUCAUAUAUUUAUUGUACGUUCUCCUAACGAUCCUUAAUCGGAUUUUCUGGUCUUUUGCCUGACAUUCCUUUAGUUUAGUAUUUUCCGGGUGAGUGGAAUAAUAUUUAAUAUGCAUAUAAUAUAAAUAAAUAUGUAUGUUGAUUAUACAAUGAGUACAACUAGUAAAUUUAUUGAAUAUUUAUAUAUGUUGCUUUAUUUUCCGAGUACUCAUUUAUUCUUGAAUUUGCACUCGCAAUCUGAUAAAGUAAAUUCUAUUUGAUAUGAUAUACGUUUCUUUGAUGAUUCUGUGAAUAUCUAUUAUGCCUUGAUAUGGGACUUGUCAGUAACUCCAUGCUAAUGGAGAAUAGUUAGCAUGUGUGCACAUAGUAUUCUGUAUACCUAGCUGGUGAGAGAGGCAUCAGCCUAUGGCGAUUGAUCAUCCCACAGUGGUCACCGACGGGUGUCAUCUGGUCACCGACGGGUGUCAUCUGGUCACCUACGGGUGUCAUAUGAUCUCUGACAUGUAAUCCACUACGUUAUGAUAAUAUGUUACGUUAUGAUAUUAUGUUUAGUAAGUAUAUGUAUAUGUAUAUCACUACAAGAUUUUACAGUUUUACCGACGGAAAUAUUCCGUCGGUGUGUGACAGAACAUUCGUCGGUAAAGUAUUUACCGACUAUAUUACCGACGGAAUACACCCGUCGGAAUACCUUUUGUCGAUGAUUCCACAUUCCGUCGCCAUAUCGGUCGAUAAUACAAAAAAAACAUUUACCGAUGGUUUUACCGACGGACUGUGCGCGCCAAAAAAAAAAAAAGUUUCCCGCUUGGAAUAUACCGACGGAAAAUAUUCCGUCGGUGUUAUGUAAAUACCGACGGACUAUCUCCGUCGGCAAAAGUGUCGGUGAUAUUUCGUACCGACCGAAUAAAUCCGUUUGUAAAUUUGUCGGUAUUUUUAUACCGACGGAUUAUCUCUGUCGGUGAAUAUGUCGGUGAUGGGAUGGAAUACCGCAGACACUGUCCAAUGCCGACGGAUUGUUUCCGUCGGUAAAUCCCUGUGUAAUUUUUUUUUUAAUUAUUUAAAAAAAAUAAUAUAAAUUAAUAGUAAUACAAACCAAUUAUGCAAAUAAAAUUUAUAUUAAGCAACAAAAACUCAAAGUUAAAUAAUAUUCAUUACAAAAUGAAUGUGUUUAAAAAAAAACAAUUAAUAUAAAGGAGGAGGAGGAGGGUGGGGGUUAGGCGGCCAAAAAGGAUUAGGCGCACAUGUUCCACCUUGUGUCAUGUUCAUGACCAUUUGACGAAGCUCUUCAUAGGCCGCUCUUUGUUGUUCAGACUCUGCUCUGCGUUGUUCGUCCGCCAAUUUGUGUUGUUCGUUCGCCAAUCUUUGCUCUUCUUUGAGUUGUGUGUACGCCUCUGAUAGAUGGUCGCACCUUUGCUGCAAGGCCACAAACUCCUUAGAUUGGGAGCUCGAUACAGAUUGGGAGCUCCCACCGGUUGAAGCAGUACCGGUCGACCGCAACUUGGCGGCGGUAGUGUUGGAGAGCCCGUAAACCCGAUUUUUAUCGGGUCCACCUGACGAUCCAGCCUCCAUCCACAAAUCCGGAUCGAAUUCCGGAUGGUUCGAAGGAUCGUCCCCGUAUCUCUCCCUCAACCGAUUAUUAUAGGUCUCCUGAAAAAAAACAAAACAAAUAAUCAUAUUCAAUUCAAUAAACAUGAUAAUAACUUAUAAAAUAAAAUGGUUGAACAAACACACCACAAACUGUUGAGCACGGUUGUCAACGAACUGUUGCGUCCCCUUUUGGCGGUCAUGACUCCGCACGUACGUCUCCACAAACAGCUCCAUAGGGCUCGGCUCACGUCCAAGAGACGUAGCCUAUAUAUAAUGAAAAAAAUGUAUUAACAACAAAUUAAUUGAACGAUAUAUUUCAUUUAAAUUAAUCUUACCAUCCAUUUCGCAUGUGCAGCAAACGGAGCCGUCGGUGUGCGUUGUAACCGAGCCAUGAAUUUGCCGAUUCCGGUUGUCGGCACCGGACUGUGAGCGUCGAGUGAACCGCUCAGACGUCACGUGCUGAAGAUAGUGCGGCCAUAUAUCUUCCGGGAUGUAUAUUGGUUUGAAAUCCCUCCAAACCGCAACAUCGUUCCAACCUUGUAACCCCUUAUCCCUCGCUGUUUUUUUUGCUUUUUUCUGGGCGUCAUACCAAAAAUCACGCAACCUAAUUCACGCACGAAAAAAUUACAUUUCGAAACAUAAAUAAUUAUGUAAAAAAAAGUCGUAUUGUUUUCGAUGUUACCUAAUUGCCGCGUGAUUUUCCCACACCCUCCUCACAACAGUGUCAUGUUCAUCAUCCCAGCAGAAUCGAUGUUGUAUAUAAAAAAAUAAUUUUUUAAAAUGUUAAUAAUUUAUUUACAAUUAUAACUUGAAUUUAUUAGAAAUAAGCUGAAAAUUAUAUAUUAACACGAACCUCAAAUCUACGAAACCAUGUAUUGAUUUGAGGCAUCCAUUCAGGAUGUCUGGAUAUAUGACUCCAUUGAAACAAUGGAAUCUCCAUCGACGCUUUAAACGCCGAUGAUAUUAAUCGGGCGACCUCAAUGUUUGUGAACCUGAAAAGAAAUGAAAUUAAUUUGUGAUUACUUCAUAAAUUAUGUUUUAAAUUUGUUUUUUUUUAUAUAAAAAAAACUAAAACCUUAACAAACUUACAUUGAAAGAUCGUCCUUCCACUGUGCCUCGAACUGGUGGGUAAAUUGAUUCCGCUUCGAAGGCAUGCCGCGUCUGCGAUGUGAAACAUCGCUGGAAGAGGCAGCAUCGGUUGACGGCCCAGGUGGUGUAGGUGCCUCUUCUUGAGAGGCACCUAAGGAAACAUCAUCAUCGCUGCUAGACGAACUUGAUUCGACUGGACGACCAGCUCUGGUUUUCAUUUUGCGCAUCUAAACAAUUUUAUAUUAAUAAUUGUAUAAUAAAAUUCAAAAGUUAAAAAAAAAUCGGCAGCACCUCCCCUAUACUGGAUACUACCCAAAUCCACAAACCUGCAAAUAUUAACAAUAGCCACAACCAAUCGAACCAAUCUAUAUGACAAAAAAUAUAUUCAAUAAUUAUAUUCAAAACAAUAAAAAAUAUGACAAAAAAUAAAUUCAAUAAAUUCAACAAAUUAUAAUUCAACAAAUUAAUCAUUUUAAUUCAACAUUAACAAUUAUAAUUCAACAAAUUAAUCAAUAAUUAUAUUCAAAACAAUAAAAAAUAUGACAAAAAAUAAAUUCAAUAAAUUCAACAAAUUAUAAUUCAACAAAUUAAUCAUUACAAUUCAACAUUAACAAUUAUAAUUCAACAAAUUAAUCAUUAUAAUUAUGACAACAAAACAAUAAAAAAUAUUCAAAAAAAAAAACCUACAUCAAUAAAAGGAACGAAAUAAACAUACCUUAAUAAUGUGACAAAUUCAAUCACCGAUGGAAUUAAUAUCCGUCGGUAAAAGGUAAAAAUUCCGUCGGUAACAGGUCAAAAAUCCGUCGGUAUUUUUUGAAUUUCGCCCCGAAUUUUUAAAAGCCCUCCAUAUUUUUCACAGUCCGUCGGUGAUUCCGUCGGUAAUCUGACAAGUUCAGAGGCGCAUUAAUUCACACACUUUGGAAAUCGCGCGGUCCGUCGGUAUUUCUGUCGGUAAUAUGUGUGACCGACAAAUUACCGACGGACCUAUUCUGUCGGUGAACCCGUCGGUGAUUGUGGCAUUUUGUUCUAAAUAUUUUCGAGCUUACUGUGAGAUGCCGACGGAAUGGUUGUCCGUCGGUAAUGUCGUCGGUGAGUGUGGCAUUUUAUUGUAAAUAUUUUAGAACUCUCUGUGAGAUACCGACGGAUGGUUGUCCGUCGGUAUUGACGUCGGUGAUUGUGGCAUUUUGUUGUAAAUAUUUUUGAACUCUCUGUGAUAUACCGACGGAUGGUUGUCCGUCGGUAUGGACGUCGGUGAUUGUGGCAUUUUGCAGGAAAGGUUGUCUUUGUAUUGCAUGUUUACCUUCCUGCAAUAACUUAACUGAUAAACUGUCUAUCACAUAAAACAAUAACCACAUUGCUUAAACAAUAAAUAUUUUGUUUUACAAAAUACAUCAUCAAUAAUCUAAAUUACAUGAGACAAAUGUUUUUACAUAGGGCUUCAUUUUCAUAAUUAGUCGGAAUUUUCUUCUUCUUCCUCGUCAAUUGAAUUGUCAUCAUCUUCAUCGCAAUCUUCAAUAUGGAUAUCAUCUUCUUCAUCGACAUUUGCUUGUUCGCUAGAGCUGAGAACAACAUUCAACUCCUCUCCGUCAAUAUCAACAAGACUAUCAUCGAGAACUCGAAAAUUUGAAUUUUCUUCCAAUUCAAUCGAAGGAGCAACUCGAUAUGGUUCAACCAACUCACGAACUUGAAAGACUUCAUCUCGCACACUUGUGUCUUCGUUCUCAUCCUGAACAACCUCGACACGACCCCGUGGUUUCGUUUUUAAAACGGACAACCAAUCAACUCUUGAACGAUCCUUUCUAAAUGAAGGGGUGUAUGUGUAAUAAAUUUGUUGACAUUGCUUUGCGAAAACAAAGACAUCAUUUAUGUUGCGGAGUCUAGCUUUUGAGUUGAUUUCGACCAGACCAUGGUGCAGAUCAACUUUGAUUCCUCAGUUCGUCGUGUCAUACCAAUAGCAUUUGAAUAAAAACACUUUAUUCUGCUCGCUAUGAUAUUGCAGUUCGACGACCUCUUCUAAUCUACCAUAGUAGUCAACUUCUAACUGGCUACUUGUGGAUCCCUUAACACAAACACCGCAGUUGUAUGUCUUUCUUCCUUGCCCGUAUUCUUCAGUAUGGAAAACAUAUCCAUUGACAAAAUACCCGUUGUAGCACUUAACUUUUCUUUCAGGGCCGAGGCUUAGUGAAGACAAUGACUUGGGCGCACUCCUUCCCAUUUGAUAAACCUUGUAAAUAUAUGUAAUUAAAUGUACAUCAAUACACGGUAAAUGAACGAGAAUCUCGUAAUGACAUGCAUACGUUAGAAUGAGUUUGUGAUAGUGCUUACAUGUGUUCUGAACCAUGUGGCAAAUUGUUCAUCUUGUAAUUGAAAGAUCUGGGAUUCGGUCAGCUGCGAGUUAUUGGAGAGCAAAUAUUGUCGAUGUUGCCUGCAAGUGAUAAUGAGUGUAUGAUAUUACAAUAUAUAAUUAACAGUAUAUUACUGACAAAGUUUAAUUAGUAUUACACAUAUAUAGACUUACUGAAUAAAUGGUCUCAGCUCAUCACAGUUAAAUAGAACAUAGUUGUGUGCUUGUUUGAAUUCUAUUUCCGACAAAUAUCUUCCUCUUACGGCAUUUUUAGGUGUGGGUCGUCCAGUAUUGGAGAAUAUUGACAAGUUCCCACUGGAAGGCACUUCACCGCCAUCGUCAUGCCGUGGAACGCGAUUGAUUCUUGUUCUCAGAUGAGGUUCGAAAUAGUACGAGAUAAAUGUUGAUAUCUCUUCAACAAUAUAGGCCUCAGAUAUCGAAGCCUCAACAUGCGCCUUGUUCUUAACCUUUUUUUUUAGAUUAAACAAGUACCUGCAUUGAAGUACAAUUCAAGUAUUUUCAAAUAAGAAAAACAUAGAAAAUACUUUAAGAUAUGAAUUCCAUUGCAACUGUAAUAUCUCACCGUUCGAAUGGGUACAUCCAUCUAUACUGGACCGGUCCUCCAGCUUUUGCCUCGAACGGUAGAUGUAUAGGGAGAUGCUCCAUUGAGUCAAAAAAUGAAGGAGGGAAUAUCAUCUCAAGUUUGCAUAGUGUCUCGAUGAUAUUCGUUUGAAGCAUCUCAAUGUGCUCAACAUUCAUCUUGCUGGAGCAUAUAUCUCUGAAGAAAUGACUGAUCUCCGUUAGUGCAUCCCAUAUUCCCUUUGGCAACAAAUCACGAAAAGCUAAUGGGAUGAGUGUUUGCAUAAACACGUGGCAGUCAUGGCUCUUCAUUCCAUACAAUCUGCAGUCCUCUAUGUUAACAAGCCUUGAUAUGUUCGAUGCAUGUCCAUCCGGGAAACGCAGACUCUUAAGCCAUUUGUAGACUAGCAGUUGUGCGUUUUUCUCUAACACGAAGCUUGCCCUUGGUUUUGCAACCCGUGACUCGUCAUAAACCAACUCCAUAUUUUUACGGUUACAGUAUAAAGCUAUAUCCAAUCUAGCCUUCAUGUUGUCCUUUGUCUUCCCCUUCACAUCCAUGACGGUGUUGAAAAUAUUCUCAAACACGUUCUUUUCGAUGUGCAUGACGUCAAGGUUAUGGCGGAGAAGAUUAGUCUUCCAAUACGGAAGCUCCCAAAAGAUACUUCGCUUUACCCAAUUAUGGGUCAAACCAAAACCAGGAAACUUUUGCUUACCUGAUUGAAGGCCAAACACAAUGUCACCGUACUCUGAUACAACAUGAUGCAAUUCUUCACCAGAAAGACGCGGGGAUGCAACAUCUUUUUCAACUCUACCAACAAAGAAAUCUUUUCUGUUCUUUCUGAACCUGUGAUUAAGUGGCAAGAAGCGACGGUGACAGUCAAAAAAAGAAGCUUUACCUCCGUUUGCUAGCGUGAAUGCCUUGUUGUUUUCCAUGCAGUAUGGACAUGCGAGUUUCCCAUGCGUGCUCCAACCAGAAAGCAUUCCAUAAGCUGGAAAAUCACUGAUAGUCCACAUCAAAGCCGCCCUCAUAAGGAAAUUUUGUUUCCUCGAUAUAUCAUAAGUCAGAGAUCCGGAGGACCACAACUGCGCCAGCUCAUCUAUCAACGGUCGAAGACAAACAUCUAUAUUCCGCCCCGGGCUGCUUGGACCGGGUAUGACAGUAGAUAGAAACAUGAACUCCGGCCUCAUACACAUUCCCGGUGGCAAGUUAUAAACUGUGAGAAUGACCGGCCAACAAGAAUAGGGAGCAGCAAAUGACCCAAAUGGGUUGAACCCGUCUGUACACAACCCAAGUCGAACAUUCCUUGAUUCAGCAGAAAAGUCAGGAUGAACACUGUUAAAGCGUUUCCACGCUUCGCCGUCAGAAGGAUGCACCAUCACACCAUCAACGACAUCGUGUGUUUGGUGCCAUGUCAUGUGCUCAGCAGUCCUUGGUGACAUAAAUAACCUCUGCAGUCUAGGUGUGAUCGGAAAUAUCUAAGUUUUUUAUGCCACUAGAGUCUUCCCCCUGCCAGUUCUGGGUUUGUAACGGGAAUGCCCGCAUGUCAUGCACUCGGUCAUCUCAGCAUUUUCAAGGUAGUAUAACAUGCAGAAGUUAGGGCACAUGUCAAUUUUCUGGUAUCCUAAACCGAGGGGUUUCAUCAUGGACUUCGCAGCAUAGAAGUUCUCUUUGAGCCUGUUCCCUUCUGGUAAAAUGCUUCUUGCCCAAUCAAUAAUUUUGUCAUACCCGGCCUCACUCAACCCGUGAUCUGACUUGAUGGUGAACACCUGUGCCACGCCGAUAAUUUACUGUGGUUUGUGCAGCCAUCCCAUAAUGGUUCGUCAGAAUCUUUCAACAAAUCAAAAAACCUAGCUGCCUCUGCAUUAGGUUCUUCUUCUACGAUUGGACAUUGAUUGACAUUAUCUUGAUUCAUUCUCAUUGCAUCCAUAACCAUGUUUCUGUAAGGAUUAGUGUUGUCAUUUGCCGCUUCAUGCACGUUGCUAGCACUAGAAGUUGACCCAACCACCGUUUCUCCCAUUCUCCUAUUACUAACAAAUACCUCUCCAUGUGCAUACCAACACUCGUAAUCCUCCACAAACUCUUUAUGUAGAAGAUGCAUCAUUACAACAUCUAGAUGCAGAUACUUUUUAUUUUGACACUUCCUGCAUGGACACCUAAUACCGCCUCCAGUAAAAUUUCUGGGAAUAGAUGUUGCGAAAUUAAUAAAACCCUGAACCCCGUUACAAUAAUCCAUCAUCUGCAAUCCUUGGGGUGAAUCUAGAUACAUCCAUGAACGAUCAUCCAUGACUUCUAUCGAACCUCUAUAAAAAGGACCCAUUAAUUAAGCAAGCUCUUAAUUAUUUCAAAACAUAACAUGUAAUUCGGUAAUUCUACAAAUUAAGUUUUAACAAUUUUCAAACAAAUACAAUCUUACAAAAUCUAAAACAAACCAUAACAAGUAUAAAAUUAUACAUUCAUAUACUACAAGUUUGUUUGAGAAAUAACAAUAAAACAUGUACAUCUACUAAAAAAUAAUAAUACAUAUACUAAAAAAAAAAUUUGACAUUUAAAUGUUAAAAUUUUAAAAGAUAGAAUUACUUACAAAAAAUGAUAAAAUCCGUCGGUAAAUCAGAACACGGAUGCUGUGACCACAAAACAAAUACAACUUGUUGUGCUGAGAUGAGGAAGAUUUUUGUUUUGGGGCGAGGGGGGUGGUUAUUUUGCAGAUGGGGAGGGUUAGGAUUAGGAAGAAGAAGGAGAAAUGGGGGAGGAGAGUGUCGGCAGAGUGGCCAUAUAUUCACUUUUGCUGACGGACUUACCGACGGUUUGGAUUCCGUCGGUGAAUCCGUCGGCAAAACCGUCGGUAAUUCUGACGGGCAAUCGACACGUCACCGCACGGACCUGCUAUUCAAAUCCCUCGGUGAUUCCGUCGGUAUUUUUAACGGUGCACCGGUCACGUCACCGGUACGGAUCUGGCAUUUCAAAUCCGUCGGUGAUUCCGUCGGUAUUUUUUGACGGUGAACAGGUCCCAUCACGCGUACGGGCCCCAGUUUUAAUUCCGUCGGUGAUUCCGAAAAUCACCCGCCAAAACCUCGCGCCACUGCCCGCCCUUUUUUCAUUAAUUCUGAAUUUUCGGUCGGUAAUUACCGACGGAUAGUCCGUCGUAAUUACCGACCGAAUUACCGACGAAAUAUUCCGUCGGUGAGUUCGACCGAAAAAUACCGACAGAAAAAAUUCUGUCGGUGAGUCCGUUGGUAUUUAGCGAAUUUCUGGUAGUGUAUGUAAAUCAAGAUAAAUCAUCUUGCAAAUAAUAUUAUUAAUAUCUGAAAUGUAUAUUAAAUGUUAUUCCCUCACUGAGUUGGUUGAACUCACCUCUCAUUUUUAAUAUUAUUUCAGGUUCUUAGUUUCUGGGACUUUGUUGAGUGUUUCCGCUUCUUCAGUUCUGGUCGGUAUGCCUUGCUUGUUCGCGAGGCUUUCCUUUUAGUUUUGAUUUGAUAUCUUAGACGCUCCACUGUUACCUUGGUUUAAUUAAAUUUGGAUUUUGACAAUGUAAUGAGUAUUAUGAAUUAUUAUUUUUGUUUUAAUAACUAUCUUUCGGUUUCAUCAGUAUUUGAAUAAUAUAAUAUUUCUGAAUAUUAUGAGCCGCUGCGUAUUUUUGAACAAAUUAUUCUUUUGAUAUGUCCGUUCUGAGGCUUAGCCUAGGUGAGGUGUCCUUUCGACACCACUCCUACGUUGCCGGUCACGAAUCCGGGAUUCGGGUCGUGACAAAUCACCUUAUGGAUACCCAGAUUUCCAGUGCCUGGAAAUGGUUUAAAAAGAUUUUGUUUUGAGGUAAUGCAAAUCACAUCUCUAGUUGUUACUGGAUUUAAUAAAGUUACUUUAUACAGUUGAAAUUACUCGCUGCUUUCCUCUUGAAUCAUUAAUCCUAAAUGAUUAAUCAUGGAUAGUUUAAUAUAUCAGUGAAACUAGAUCAUUGACCGAGCUCGUACAGGCUAUACUAAAAAUUUUAUAAACAAAAAAAUAUGUAAGGAUUGAUAAUGUAUUUUUUUGUCAAACCGAAAUGUAAAACCAAAGGGGAAAAAAAUAAAAAAAAUUUAUUCAUUUUUCUUCCUAUUACGUUGAGCACCCUUAAAGUAAUCUGCAAUUGUCAAAGAACCUGAAUACAUAAUAUGAUUUCAGAACUCGUAUCUGUGUCCCAUGAACCCAUGGUUAUAAAUUUCAACGUUAGCAAAAAUUAUAUUCAAUUAUUAUUUUUUAAAUAUAUAAGUUUGAUAGUGAUUUUAUAUUUUAUUCUACACUAGCACGCGGGUUUGGCAAGCGCCGGAAAAAUCAAGGUGGAAUGUUAAGCGUGCUCCUGUAAUUCGGUAAUAAUUUUAGUUAAGCUCUCUAAUUAUUUACUUGUAAUUACAGUAAUUUUGUUUUCCUAAUUACCUGCUCUCUUCUAGUGCUUCUGAUUGAAAUUGAGUUAGGAGUUGAAGACCCUUAAGUGCAUUGGAUUGCCCAUCUAGAAGUUGUUUCUGUUUAUCCAAAGACUUCCCAGCCAUGUUCUCAAUGUCAUCAGCUGUGUUUUGUAAAGUUUCCAUCUUUGAAGACAUUGUGUCUCCAACUCUGCCAAUCUGCUUCUCUAUUUCCACAGCUUCGUUUCUCACAUUGUCUACUUCUUGGCCCAGAUUGGUGUAAGCAUCAUGAAGCAUCGACAUCCCUUCCUUCAAAUUGUCAUUCAUUUUUGCUUGUCCCUCUUGCAGCUCUGAUUGAGAAUGUGCAAUUUCCUUGGAAUGCUUAUAAACAGCUUCAGAGUGCUUAGAUAAAACAUCCAUGUGAUCCUUUGCAUCUUUCGUUGUUUGAGCUACAUUUUCAACCUGAAUAUCAAUAGAACUCAAUGAAUCCUGAAUUUGAUUCGAUCUCUGCAACAGGACAUGUGUUUUUCCUCCAAUAAUUUCUAACUGUUCUUCCGUGUAUUCUGCUGAAUUUUUAAGAUCAUUCACCAGUCUCUCCAUUUUAUGGUUGAAGGCAUGGGCCCUGUAGGCAAUAGCACAUAAAAAAAUCCUUGUUAGUUUCUGUCACAUCGUAUAAAACAAGAGAAGAACGGUCAGAACAGUGAAAGAAACUAUACUUAACUGUCACUGAUAGCAGAUAGAAUUGGUUUCCAGUGAGAAUUCAAGAUAAACCUUGUGCUCAUUGUCAUUCAACCUUUUGAGACAAUUAACCAUGGCAGAUUUUGUGUCACAAUAAGGGAAAGCUGGCCGUCCAGAGUCCUUUUGAAAGCAAUCACUAAGGUGCCAAGCAAAUCUCCACCGCUUCUCCUCGACGGCGAGAAUCUGCGAGCAGCCGGCAAAGAGAUUCUGGUAAGCAUUCUGCCAACAAGAAUUCGUGCCAACCAUUUUACUUUCGGCUUUUUCGACCAGUUUCAUCCCCUUCCCAUCACUAAGACCAUUCAUAGAAAAUUCCACCACAGAACCACGGGGCAAACCGUUUGUCUGUGAAUUAUCAUGGAGAGAGUCUCUGUUGAAGAAGAGAACCAACCCCAUGAUUGACAUCUUAAUGUAAGUGAGAUUAAAAUUACGAGAAACAAAAUCUGACUAUAAGAACCCAUUAAUUAUAUCUUUUCUUCCUGAUUUUGUUACUCUACUUUCUGUAUCUUCCACCAGAAGACUGAAACCUGCAGUACACAGUAUAACAAAUUAGCAGAUGCUUCCAAUGCUAAAGGCAUAUACACAAGUCUUGUAUUUAUGUAUAAACAAAGAGGUGGAGAAACUUGGAGUGCAAGAAAAGGAAAAGGCACGAUUUUAGCAUGAAAAGGACUGUUUGAAAGUGAAAUUAAAAGUGUAGAAAAUAGAAAAGAGACAGAGACUUCCAAAGAUUAAAAAGAAAAGAAAAGAAAAGUAGAAAUGGUCAAAUAGUCUCUUAAAACAUUCUACGAUAUUCCAAUAAUCAAAGAUGAGAUAACUUCAAGAAUUCUAAGGAAAUCAAAACAGGACAUAGUGUCAUAUCUUCCCAUUAAAUUAGCAGCAUAUCAACUAUUUUAAGAAAAUUAAGUCAAAAUUAAGAAAAUUCUUUAAAAUCAUAACCGUUUCAAUUAACCGUUUCUUUGUUUUCUCUCUUUUUUCUAAUUUCCUUUUACAAUUAAUUACUUAUAUGAUGGAUUAACAAAUGGAAAGAAAGAAACCAUAAGUAGCAAAAAGGGAUCCCCUCUUUAUCUUCUAUCACUUGAUUUCUUUUCUUAACUUCUUCUCCAGCUACCCCUCCCUCCUUUUCUCAUAUACAAAGCUUCUGCUACCUUUUUUAUCCUUUAAAAAACCAAAAAGCGGGCCAUGUUCAUGUUUAAAGUUUUGAUACGAUUAUCCUUGGAGCCUUAACCUGAAUUAUACGUAAAAAACGAAGAAAUUAAAGAAAGUCCUUGAAUGAGAGAGAGAGAGAGAGAGAUGGUGAGAGCAUACAUACUUGUUUGUGAAUGCUCACCGGGUGGGGGUGGGGGUGGGGGUGGUAUUAAGAGGAUAUAUAUAUAUAUAUAAAGUGAAGUGAAGAGACAUGAUGCUUUGAUUAAUUUGGAAAAUUAAUGAUGUUUCGAAAAGUCACUUUCCAUGACCGACAUUAAUCUUUCCUUUCCAUGUUACACCAGGUUUUAUAUUUUUUCCUUUUACGUUUAAUUCGUUUUCAAAAUUAACCCAAGAUUUCAGAACGUUGCAAUAUUAAACCUCAACGUCACAAAUGAUCUACUGUAAUUUAAUUUUAAGGCCUGAUUAAAUACCCAAGUUAUUAAAACACACUUGUUCCCAGCAGAACACAAUGUUUAAGGGGGAGAGAGAUCAUCUUGCAUGCAUAAAAUCGAAGACGUGUACUGUAACAGAUAUAUUGUUGUGUUGCAAACAGAUUUCAAGGUUCUAUAUAAAUCCAAGAACUUUUUAUGCACCAACUGAUGAUAUAAUUAUAAGUUAGAGUAAUUAUUGAAACCCUCCCAUAAUUAUUGGAUUUUGUUCCUUAACUUCCACCUAACGGAUUCAUCAUUCUGCUACUUCCAAAUCCAUUCAAGAAAUCUCAAAAGUCCAUUUGAAAUGAACAAAGGAUGCAUUAACCGGUUGAGAUGAAAAUCUCUCAACUAGAAUGAAAAGAUCCUUAUACCUCCAAGGUCUGAUAUGCGGUUUAUUCCUACCACCUGUAUUACCAGAAUGGAAUGCGCUAGUUCUAAGAUGCAGAGUCUGUGUUCGAACAAUGAUUUAUGGAAGCACAGGUACGUGGAGGAGCUUGGAAAUGCGUCCGAAACACAAAGUUUUGGCAACUGGAAAACUAGAUCAAUUCUCUAGAUAUCGAUGUUUUCUGCUAGAUCUUAUGGCAGCAUGAAGUCCACUAAUUUUGUCUGUGAUUGUAACUAUUUGGAUUGUUAAUUUUUUUAAAAAAAGUUUAUGUUCAUAAAUCGCCGGUCUUGCAAAUUGAUAAACCUUUGUUCGAAUGAUAUCGUAGAUUAAAAGGCUUAAAGGAAAUCUUUGUUUGUGUUGCAUAUAUUAAGAGAGUUCUUGAUGCCGGACAAAGAGAGAUUUGAAGAGAAGGGGAGAAGGGAGAGAAAGAACGAAGAGGAGAAGAAGCUGGGAAGAAGAGGAGGAGAGGAGAGAAGGGAAGGGAAGAGGAGAAUUGAACACUACAUUUUUUCUUUAAUUCAUCUAUAAACUGAUAAAUCAAAUAAAGCCCAAUCAAAUAGGUUUAAAGCCGAAACAGAGGGGUGGAACGGGAGUGUCUAAUGAAAGAAAACUCUAUAAGGUCGCGUGGAAUACUCUUUCAAAUCCAAAACAGAUGGAUGGAACUGGUUUGGGUUCUCGCAGAAGGUUUCGGUCUUGGGGUGAUUGCUUUUCCAAAUUUGCACCAAUCAGUUCUGCAUCAGCUAGCAAUGAUUUCGAAAAUGGGAGCUUGACAAGCUUCAGAGUGGACCAGGGCUUUAUCCAUGAGAGAAAGAGGAUGAAACUCGUCCUCAAUCAAUGCUUUCAGCACCAUAUUUACACCAAGAUAGGGUGGUUAUACUGUGAAAUCUUGUAGCGCAGUUGUGGCUGGGUUUUUGCUUCCAUGUCAGACCAUGAACAUCCCCAAUGUAUGGAAACCUACCGCUCUCCCAAAGGUAGAAUUCUUCACUUGGCUGGCUGUUCUUGAUAGACUGAACACAAAGGUAGAAAAUGUAUGUUGCUGCUGUCAAACUGAGGAAGAAUCACUCCACCAUCUACUACAACACUGCCAGCAAGUUUGGAGGAUUUGGAAUCAUGCAUGUGUUCAGUUGGCGAGGAUCAACUUAUACCCUUCCUAAAUCAGCAAGUGGUUUGUUUCAGCAAUGAAGGUUCUUUGCAAGAGGUGGAAAACAAGGUAUUUCCCACAUGAUUUUCUCUCUUUCUUCAUUUUGAUAUUUCAAUUAUUAAAAUAAAGUAAUAAUAUUACUCACACAAUACCAUAAAAUUCAUCGGAAUUUAAAAUUUUUAAUUUAGAAAUUUUGGCCAUGCAUGGUCUACAACCGUGAAAGAGGUCCCAGAAAAACACGAGUCCAAAGCUACUUGGACUUCUCCAUAAAUCAAGUGGAAAAUUGAUAGAUCAGCAGGAAAACUAACGUAGCAUUUCGUUAAAAAUAAACUCUAUUUUCGGCUAUUCCUCAAACAGUGUUUUAAGAUUGUAAGGCUUCACGAUGUCAAGACUUCCACUCCACAUUAGCUUCGCAAAUUGAUUGUUGGCACUCUCAGUUGGAUGAGCCGGAUCAAAGAAGAAAUAUUCACUUGCAUUGUCGCAUAAUUGAUAUCCUUUCUGACCACAAGUAGGGAAGCUUCUGUAAGGACCACUGCCACAACAUGCCUCUUGAACCUCCUUGAAACCUUCAUAUAUAGAGAAAUCACAUUUAAAUUCAUAACAAGGACAGGAAAUCUAUAUAGGGACCUUGAUUUUAAUUAUUUAAUACUUAUAGACAGGCAUUACCAUAUUUUUAUUAAUUCUCUCCCUUCCUGCAACAUAGGCAUCAAAAAUUGAGUAUCUAAAUCCUUCUAGUUGUCCCUCAAGCUCUUUGAGUGCUUUAGGGAGUGCUCUGUUGUGUAGUUUUGCAAACAUUGUAGCUUCAUCCAAGCAACCUGACACCCCUGUUCUUUCCUGUUUAGCUGCUCUCAAGGAUGGUAGACAACCCAAAGCAAUCAACGUUGACAAUCCAAAUUUCCUUCCUCCUAUCUUGUAUAUUUCCUGGAACAGUACAAUUACGCAAUCAUAAUCCAAGAUCAACUUGGAAAGAAGAGAAAGAAUGGUUCUUUAGCAUGCUAAAUUACUUGGAUCACUGUUGUUAUAUUGCCAAUAACCAUCCCAACAUACUCUUCUCUUGAAUAUAAUUGAAGCAAACUGUGCGUUGGUGUUAGAGCUGCAAAGUAGUCAUUGCCUCCAAUGCUGAACAUGUAAACUGCUGUGGACAGCAAGUUUUUAGCUUCUGCUUCACCUAGUUGAAGCCUUAACUGCCUUUUCAUAUGCUUGAAAUAGCUUAGUUGAGUGCUAAGGUUUAUCACCUUCAAAGAAAAGGGGAAAAAAUGAAAAACCGAAAAAAAAAAAAAACAGUUAUGGAACAUAUCUAAGACAGUAAACUUUGUGUUCUUGACAUACCCAUCCAUGAUGAGUUUCAACAAGAGCACCAGCUCCAGAUGAUGCAAAGUUCACUCCAUUUAUAAAUCGAUGAUUACUGGAUUGUAGAUGUUGUUGUAUUUCAGAGCUUAUCACCUUGAAAACAAUCAUUGAAUCUCAUUAUUCCUUUAGAAGAUUUAAGAGAGAUCUCGAGUUUAAUUAAUUUAUAAAAAGACGAAAAGUGGUGGGGAUCAAUAACAUUGAAGACCCCACCAAGAAAAAACAACAUCAUGAUGACAGACAUACCAUUCCUUGGAGAUUUUCAGCGAGAACAAGAUCCCCUUUUGACUCAAAGUUUUCUCCAUCCAUAAAUUGAUGGUUACCAGGUUGUAGAUAUGGCGGAAUUAAAGGUAAAUUUGCAUAUUGAGCUGUCACAAAACAUUUCAUAAAAAUAAGAAAAGAAAGAACAAAAAAGAAUGAAUUAAAGUGCUCUUAACUGUAAUGAUCUUACCAAUAAAAUCUGGAAUUAAUCGACCAUCACAAGGCCUUCCUGUGGGAUGCUUGAAGAAGGUUCCAUACCAUACAGAAAUCUGAAAAGAUAGGAGCAUCUUCGAUGUACUUGUUGUUUCCAGCAUCAUAUAAUGAAUCUCCAAAGAUAAAUAAGGCAACAUGCUUAGAACCAUGGCAGCUUCUUGCAACCAGAAGGCUUGCACAAAACACCAAGAAACAAUUCUUAAUAUUGGACCUUGAAAUACUGUUAUAUAAUUGUAUAAGGAUUGAUAAUAUAUUUUUUAGUUAGAAAGAAAAAUUUAUUUGUAAAUUUAAAAUUUGAAGUAUAUAUUUAAUAAAAUAAAUUAAAAAUUAUAAGUGCUAAUAAAUAUAUAAAAAAUAAGUUGUCAAGGUGAAAACAAAUACAAAUUAAAAUAUUCGAUUUUACAUUAUAAAGAACCCUUCAAUUAUUUAUAUUUAAUUAUAUAACAGUAUUUUAAUUAUAAAAAUAAUAAUUUAAAUUUUGUUUAAACAAAAUAAUUUUCUAUUAUAUUUCCUUCUUUUAUUAAUACUUUUAAUUUCAGUAAAAAAAAUUAACUUUUUGUUGCUUGUCUUUCAUUUAAUAAAAAUUAAAAGAAAUUAGAAUACAUAUCCAUAGGAUUUUGGAUGAUUUAAAAUAAAAAAAAAAUAUCUCUCUAAUUAGAAUCUGUUUGCCUAGCUGACACGCUCAUUUAAAAAAAAAAAUCUUUAUCAGAAUAUUUAAUUUUUAGAUAUUAUUUUAUCAUUAUCUUAAAACAAGUUUGAAUGAUUAUAAAACACAUUUUGAUAACCUAGAAAAUAAUAAUUUAAUAAACAUCCUUAAAACUUAAAAAAAUAAUAAUUUAUUAGCCCAAAAAAACCUAAAACAAUUGUCCAAAAUAAAAAAAGUAAAAAUCAUGAAAAAAAGUUUUCUUUAUCUUUUGAGUAGUUUUUAAUAUCUUGAGCUCUACCUCACUUGUCUCUGAUGAUUGAUUAUUAUAAAAAAUUUCUAUAGCUCCCAAUUUCCAAGAUUAUAGUAUGAGGCGACAAGGCAAGUGGCUGUGUUUUUUCAAAAAUACAAUCAAAGGCAGUAAGACACGAUUAUGCUGAAAAAAUUCUUAUGGUAAGCUUUGGUUGGUUUAGAAAAAUAUGCUUGAUUCAUCACGUUUCUCCACCAAUAAAAGUGUUGGCAUGAAAACAAGUAGAAUUAAUGAGAUUGUGUAUAGAAAAAUAUAUAAAAUAUUUGCACAAUAAAAAAAAGAAUAGAAGAAAAAAUAUAUAAAAUAUACAUAAAAAUAAAAAAUAUAUCUAAAAAGAACCUAAGUAUUUUUUUGGCUGGGCUCGAAAUCAUACCCAACUGUCUAGAUCCGAUAGUUUUUAUUUUAGCUGAUAUGAUCAUUAUGAUUGUAAGAAAUUGUUCAAUAAGAGUUAUUAUCUUAUAUAAGAUUUAAAAAUUCAAAAUCUUUAUUUUAUAACUUCUAAGUUUUGAGUACAUUAUUAUUAUUAUUAUUAUUAAUAUAUGAAAUGAAUGACUAUUAAAGUUAUUAAUUAGAUGUUAGACUGGUGGCGGAAAUCGUAAUGGCGGCUAAUAUUUCAAGUCGGCUUGAAUAUUACUGCUCGACGGCUUAGCUAGGUAGAUAGCUCAAGCUCAACUCAAGCGGGUGAAAUAUGAUUGUUACAGAUUGUAACAGCUAAAUCCAGCUAGAGAGGAGUAGGAAUCCAGGAAAAAAACAAUCAACGGCUAGGAUUGGGUUGGGUAUUUGAGAAUGGGUCCGCUUCCUGUCCAGGAGAGAGGGGGGAAGAAGACUUGGUUGGUUUUCUUUCUCUCUCCACAAGGCAAGGAAAAAAAUGAAAUCAAGGUUGUCAAUUCUAUUUUGAUAUGUAUUUUAUUUAUUUAAUUGAAAUGAAAUAUUUUAGUUUUGAAGUAUUUUAAUAUAUUAUUUUGGAGUUGUACUGUUUAUAUAUAUAAUUCAAAUUAAUUAAUUAUAACAUAAUUCAAAUUUAAGAUAAAUUAAUUAUAAAUUAUGCAAUACAAACACAAUGCCAAACAAAUAUAAUUUCAAAAUUUAAAAUAUUUUUAAAUAGUCAAGAUUAAAUAAAUCUUUAACUUAAAGUAAUUCAACUUAAACAAAAUAUCAAAAUAUUAUGAAAGUAAAAUGUUUUAAUAAAAAUAUUUUAAAUAUAAAAUUAGGUUAAUGUUAUCAAGUGGUUAAUGGAAUCUAAAGCUUCCCUUGUUUUGCUCAAAUUCCUACAAAGUAUAAAUAUGAAAAAAAAAAUAACAUGAAUAUAAACCAUAUAUAUUAGUGAUAAAUCUAAUUUUAAAAAAUUAAUAUUAUUGUUAAUGAAAAUAGUAAUAAUAAUUUUCAAUAUUAUUAUUAAUAUCAUUGCUAUUGAAAAUAGUAAUGAAAAAGAGCUUUUUUAUAAUCAGGUGGUUUAAUUAAUGAAAUUAAGUAAGGUUCAAUUUGAUUCAAUGACUUUUUAAGAGUGGAACGAAACAUGUGGAAUGAAACUGGAACGUUUCGGGCGAAAUUUAGCUGAAAAAUCCAGAAUGGACCGAGAUUUAAAAUUAGAUGAAAUUUGUUCCGUUUUUUGAAUUAAUAUGGAAUGUUUCGGCCAUUCUGGACGAAACGGAACGGAAUUGACAACCUUUAAUGAAAUAAAAUGAUGGUGGUUUUCUGGGACCCGUGUAUCCCCUGAAAUUGAAAGACCAUACGACCACGUGUUGCCGGUAAGGUCACUUUCAAUAUUCAUCCCCAUCCUCAUCCUCAUCCCUAUGGUCUAAAUUAUAAAACUAAGUCCUUUUAGUUUUGAGAAAUGAAUUAAUUAGUUAUUUUUUAAAAAAAAUAAAUUAUUUAGUCCUUUUUGUUCAUUUAUGUUUUUUAUUUUUUAAAAAAUAAAAGAAAGGAAAUGAAUAAAUAAAUAUUAUAAAAAAGUAACCUGGUCAAUGAACUAGGUAAUUUAUUUUUUUAAAAAAAGAUUAAUUAAUUUAUCUUUUAAAAAUAGAGAAACUGUUUUUUACGAGAAUUCACAUUUUUUUAUAUCCAAUAUGUAUAUUUAUGCUCUAAAACAGACAUCGGUUAUGAGAAGAUUUGACAAAAAUACCGACAACAUUGACAAAAAAAAAAAAAACACUAAUUGAGAAUAUUUUGAAAUGUUUGGAACCUAAUUGAAAAAAUUCAUAGGUUUUAAAUGUAAUUGAGAAUGGAUAUACAAGUUGGAGAGUAACAUGAGGGUUUCCCUAUAAUAGCAUGUUUUAAAUUAUAUAUACUUAUAAUUUUUAAAUUUUAAUUUCAUCGUUUGAUUUUUGAACAAAUAAAAUAUGUAUAAUUGGACCAGGUCUAAAGAUUAGAUGGGAUCAAACCAAUAAGAAGCCUGAGAAAGUCCACGAAGAAAAACCAGCUAACAUUGCAAUGAGGACUUGUUUCAACAGUUAGAAUGACAAAAAACCCAGCUAACAUCGGCAAAUAUAGGUUCAAAUUACCAGUUUACAUACCUGACGUCCACUGUGCAUAAAAAUAUCUGUAUUUAAAAUGAUUUUUAUAUUUGAUCCUAUUAUUACAUACCUAACGUCCACUGUGCAUCAAAAAAUUACCUGGAACUAUUAAAAGAUGUUUUUAUUUAUAAUUUUUUAAAAUAUAAAAACAUGUUAGAGAAGUUGUGUAUAUACAUAUUAUUGCUGAAAAAAAUAUCUUUAUUUAAAAUGAUUUUUGUAUUUUAUCCUAUUAUUUUGUACCAUUAGAGAAGACAACACAAUAAAACUAUAUAGGUGAUGAGACAAAGGGAUAAAAUGGGGAUCCAAAAACAUUUUAAAUAUUUGUUAGUAAAUUAAAAACACCAGAAGCCAAUAAAUUAUAGUGUUGAUUAUAAAAAUAAAGGUAUUAAGUUAUAAUUUUGUUUAAAAUGCAAGGGAUAAAUUUACACCACAUCCAUUUAAUAAUUAUUAUUAACAUAUAUUGAAAGACCUUGAUAUUUCAUUAUAGCAAUAAACAGUGAAAUGUGAUAGCCUUAGUUUGGUCCUCAAGAUUUACUAAAAGAUCUUAGCAUUUUAUUAUUGCAAUGAACAUUAAAAUGCUUUGACCUUUUACAAUUUGAUCCUCGAGGUUUUUUAUUUUAUUUUUUGCAAUUUCAUCUUCUGACAUUAAAUUUAAUGGACAUUGAACUUUAUAGUUUAUUUUGAUUUAUUUUCUAUGAAGUUAUCUUAGUCUUAUAAUCUAAGUUUUAACAAGUUAAUACGAGUUUACUCGACUAUUUUUUUGUAUUUUUUUUUAAAUUUAACUUCAUCCUUCAGUAUUGAGUUGAUUGAGAAUUUGAUUUGAUUUUUUUUUAUUUGUUUUAUAUAGGGUUAUCAUGGUCUCGUGACCUGGAUCACAAGUUUUGCGAGUUAGCCAAUUUGAUUGGAAUUUUUUUAGGUCCUUUGUUCUUUUUAAUUGAAUUUUUUUUUCAAUUUCAUUAUUCAAAUUGAAAAUUUGAAUUCAGAAUUUUUUUUUAUUUCAAAGUUAUCCCGGUCUCAUGAUUGAGGUUUGAUAGGUUAACCGAGUUUGAAUCAAUAUUUUGUUUUUUUUUUAAUUGAUUUUUUUUUCAAAUUAAUCCUUCAACAUUGAGUUGAUUGGAAAUUGUGCUUUAUAAUUUAUUUUUAUUUAUUUUCUAUAGAUUAUCAUGGUUUCAUGACCCAAGUCGCAGGUUGCUUGAUUGCCUCGAGUUUUUUUUUCUUUUUUUUAAUUAUUUUUUUUCAAUUUCAUCCUUCAAUAUUGAGUUGAUUAAGCAUUAGAUUUCAUAAUUUAUUAAGCAUUAGAUUUCAUAAUUUAUUUUGGUUUGUUUACAUGAAGUUAUGACAACCUCAUGACUUAAGUCACAAGUUUGGUUGGUUAACUCAAGUGGUUUUUUCGUGCUCUUUUUUUAAUUGAUUUUUUUUUCAAUUUCAUCAUUUAAAAUUAGAUUGAUUGAGAAUUGAGCUUCAUAAUUUAUUUAAGUUUUUUUCUAUAUAGUUAUCUCAUUCUCAUAACUAAGAUAACCUAGGUUGACUCGACUUCUUUUUCUAAUUGAUUUUUUUUAAUUUUAUUAUUUAAUAUUGGAUUAAUUGAGAAAUGAGCUUAAUGAUUAUUUUUUAUUUACUUCUACAGGGUUAUCAAGGUUUUAUGAUAUGAGUUGGAGAUUUGAUAGGAUAACUUGAGUUGAUUCGAGUGAAUCCAAAUCGAUUUGAGUAAAUCUAAGUAGAUACAAUAUAUUAUUGUCUUACUAUUUUAAAAAUAAUAUCGUGCUGAAUUUUUUUUUGUCAAGUUACAUUUUUACCUGUUAUUUAAGUUGUUUUUAGAUCUAUAAAGUUGAUUAUAUCAUAUCAGGACAGUUUUUAUAUAAUUUAUUUAUUUAUUUUUGCUAGAAAAUAUAUUAAAUAAAUUACUUCAUCAACUUUGCCAAUAAAAACAUGAUAGGUUCGAAUCAUUUUCCAUUUAUAAUAGUGUUUAGAUAAGUGAAUGACCUCAUCAACUUUGCUAUUAAAAACAUAAUACGGGCAACCGUGUGAUUAUGGUUUGGAUCCAGGUCGGGACAAGUGCUGGAGUUCAUGAUCGUGACCACCUAGCAUCUUCGAAUAAUUCUCCUCUAUCACCCUUUUUUUUUUUAAUGCUUGUUUGGAAUAAGUUUUUGAGAUUAGUUGUGAUUAUGAUGUCAUUCUACUGUCAUUAAGAAUAAAUUAACUCUAACCGAGGAUUAAAACAGAUUUAUCAAAUACUUUUUGCACUGUGUCUAGCUAAUGGAGAAUAUAUUGAAAAGAAAAAUACCCUUGAGAAUUCACAGCCAAAAGCGUUAAUCACGUUUCUGUUUAAAACAGGAAAAGGCAUGCAAUAAUUGACAAAUGUUGCUUGAAAUCACAGCUAUCUUCCUUCUCUGAAACUUCAAUUGCUUUAUUAUACUUUUAUAGGCAUAGCCAAGUCAAGCCUGCACCGUGUGGAGCCUAAUCAAUAUAAUCAGAGACUGCUGUUUGCCUUUUCCAUUUUUCAUCUCAUACUGCUCUGUCUUCUCAAUAUUUACUUGCCAUUUCUUGCUCACCUCCCCUGCUUUUAGUUUUCCUUGCACCUUUUCUACCUCUUCUUUUCCAUUCCAAAACAAGCUAUGGCUGAUGCUAUUGUUUCUGCUCUCGCGAGUACAAUCGUGGGGAACUUAAAUUCCUUAUUUCUUCAAGAGCAUGGACUUGCUGGGGGCCUAGAGACUGAGCUUGAAAAUCUCAAGCGCACAUUCAGAACCAUUCAAGCUGUGCUGCAAGAUGCAGAGGAGAAGCAGUGGAAGAGUGAGCCUAUCAAGGUGUGGCUCAGCGACCUAAAGGAUGCUGCUUAUGUUGUUGAUGAUGUACUGGAUGAGUUUGUAAUUGGAGCUAAGUGGCUUCUGCAGCGAAGAGAUCUCAAAAAUCGAGUAAGAUCCUUCUUUUCUAGCAAACAUAAUCCAAUUGUUUUUCGACAAAGGAUGGCUCAUAAAUUGAAGAAUGUUAGAGAAAAACUAGAUGCCAUUGCCAAGGAGAGACAAAAUUUCCACCUAACAGAGGGGGCUGUGGAGAUGGAAGCAGAUAUUUUGUUCAGCGUCAGACUUGGUCUUCGGUGAAUGAAUCAGAAAUUUAUGGAAGAGGCGAGGAGAAAGAGGAACUAAUCAACAUGCUGCUCACUACUUCAGGUGAUCUCCCUAUUCAUGCUAUAAGGGGGAUGGGGGGGCUGGGUAAAACAACACUUGUUCAACUGGUCUUCAAUGAAGAAAGUGUUAAACAACAAUUCAGUUUGAGGAUCUGGGUGUGUGUAUCUACUGAUUUCGAUCUCAGAAGAUUAACAAGAGCCAUCAUAGAGUCCAUUGAUGGUUCCCCUUGUGGUCUUCAAGAAUUGGAUCCCUUGCAACAAUGCCUCCAACAAAAGUUAAAUGGAAAGAAGUUUUUGCUUGUAUUGGAUGAUGUGUGGGAUGAUUAUGGUGAUAGGUGGAAUAAAUUGAAGGAGGUAUUAAGGUGUGGAGCUAAAGGUAGUGCUGUCAUAGUAACUACGCGUAUUGAGAUGGUUGCUCUUAGAAUGGCAACAGCUUUUGUCAAGCACAUGGAGAGAUUGUCUGAAGAAGAUUCUUGGCGGUUGUUUCAACAGCUUGCAUUCGGGAUGAGAAGGAAAGAGGAGCGGGCACGUCUGGAAGCCAUUGGAGUAUCAAUAGUGAAGAAGUGUGGUGGUGUUCCUUUAGCUAUAAAGGCACUCGGGAACCUAAUGCGGUUAAAAGAAAGUGAAGAUCAGUGGAUAGCUGUCAAAGAAAGUGAGAUUUGGGAUCUAAGAGAAGAAGCAAGCAAGAUCUUACCUGCUUUGAGGUUGAGUUACACUAAUCUAUCACCACAUUUGAAGCAAUGCUUUGCGUAUUGCGCUAUAUUUCCAAAAGAUCACGUGAUGAGGAGGGAGGAGCUGGUUGCUUUGUGGAUGGCAAAUGGCUUUAUUUCUUGCAGAAGAGAAAUGGAUUUGCACGUCAUGGGCAUUGAGAUAUUCAAUGAACUAGUGGGAAGGUCAUUUCUGCAAGAGGUCGAGGAUGAUGGAUUUGGCAACAUAACAUGUAAAAUGCAUGAUCUUAUGCAUGAUCUUGCACAAUCCAUUGCAGUACAAGAAUGCUAUACGACAGAAGGCGAUGGGGAGUUGGAAAUUCCUAAAACUGCCCGUCAUGUUGCUUUUUAUAACAAAUCAGUAGCUUCGUCUUCUGAAGUUCUCAAGGUCCUAUCACUUCGCUCACUUCUUGUGAGGAAUGAACAGUAUGGGUAUGGAUGGGGAAAGAUUCCUGGUCGAAAACAUCGAGCCUUGAGUUUAAGAAAUAUCCGGGCCAAGAAAUUGCCGAAGUCAAUUUGUGAUUUGAAACAUCUAAGGUAUCUAGAUGUGUCAGGCUCGUUCAAAACACUGCCUGAAAGUACAACCUCUCUCCAAAACCUCCAGACACUAGAUCUGAGUUCUUGCAGCGAACUCAUCCAAUUACCAAAAGGUAUGAAGCACAUGAGAAAUCUUGUCUAUCUUGACAUAACGGGUUGUUAUUCACUUCGAUUUAUGCCUGCUGGAAUGGGGCAAUUGAUAUUCCUGCGAAAACUUACCCUGUUCAUUGUGGGUGGGGAGAAUGGUCGUCGCAUAAGUGAGCUGGAAGGGCUGAAUAAUCUUGCUGGUGAAUUGAGUAUCACAGAUCUUGUGAAUGUUAAGAAUUUAAAAGAUGCCACAAGUGCCAAUUUGAAGUUGAAGACAGCUCUUUUAUCACUGACUUUAUCUUGGCAUGGUAAUGGAGAUUACCUUUCUUACCCUUGGUUAAUUGUGCCACCGCAACAAAGAAAGAGUGUUAUUCAGGUAAAUAACGAGGAGGUCCUUGAAGGGCUUCAACCUCAUUCAAAUCUGAAGAAGUUGAGGAUAUGGGGAUAUGGAGGUUCAAGAUUUCCUAAUUGGAUGAUGAACUUGAACAUGACGCUACCAAAUCUGGUAGAGAUGGAGCUAUCAGCAUGUGACCACUGUGAACAACUUCCACCAUUGGGGAAACUGCAGUUCCUCAAGAGUCUUGUAUUGCGUGGAAUGGAUGGUGUGAAGAGUAUUGACAGCAAUGUGUAUGGAGAUGGGCACAAUCCAUUCCCAUCUUUGGAGACGCUGACUUUUAAGCACAUGGAGGGAUUAGAGCAAUGGGCUGCGUGUACUUUUCCUCGCCUUCGAGAAUUGGAGAUAGUCGGUUGCCCUGUGUUGAACGAAAUACCAAUUAUACCCUCCAUCAAAUCACUGCACAUCGAGGGAGUGAAUGCUUCGUUGCUGAUGUCAGUUAGGAAUCUCACUUCGAUCACUUCUCUUUAUAUUAGAGGGAUUGACGAUGUGAGGGAGCUUCCCGAUGGGAUUUUGCAAAAUCAUACCCUCCUUGAAAGCUUCCAUAUUAGUGAGAUGCGAGAUCUGGAGUCUUUGUCAAAUAGGGUAUUAGAUAACCUUUCUGCACUUCAAAAGUUGGAGAUAUGGGGUUGCGAGAAACUUGAAAGCUUGCCAGAGGAAGGUCUUCGUAACCUCAAUUCCUUGGAGGUUUUAGAGAUAUGUAGAUGUCCAAGAUUAAAUUGUCUGCCAAUGAAUGGGUUGUCUGGCUUAUCUUCUCUUCGGGAGUUACUUUUUCAACAUUGUGUUAAAUUAACAUCUCUCACUGAGGGAGUGCGGCAUCUGACGGCACUUGAGGAUUUGUUACUUAAUGGAUGUCCAGAGCUAAAUUCAUUGCCAGAGAGUAUCCAACUUCUCACUUCUCUCCAAUCUCUAAGAAUAUGGGACUGCGAGGGAUUAACUUCUUUGCCAAAUCAGAUUGGAUAUCUCACUUCUCUCCAAUCUCUACAUAUAUGGAACUGCAAGGGAUUAACUUCUUUGCCAAAUCAGAUUGGAUAUCUCACUUCUCUCCAAUCUCUACUCAUUGAGGGUUGUCCAAAUUUGAAGAAAAGGUGUGAGAAAGAUUUAGGCGAAGACUGGUCUAAGAUAGCUCACAUUCCUAAUAUUAGUAUAAAUUGAUAUGCAAAAUUGUUAAAAUAAUUUCUCAUUAACAUUGAAUGAGAAUAAAAUAUAUAUUUUCUUAGUUUUAAUUUGUUGUAAUUGUUUAAAUAACUUUAACAAAGAUUAAUUUCUUUGUAUCCUAAAUUGAAAAUGUUUGGAUUUGCGAGCUUUGUCAUUCAAGAUCGCUGUGCGCUUCACGUGGAAAUACACUCGCUCGAUUGCCUAUAGUUGACCCAGCCUUUUAUCCAUUAUAUUUUAUUUCGAUCAAAACGACCUUUUCAUGUAAAAUUUUCUAAACUUAAAAUACGCAUCGCUCGCACCAGAAAGUAUAUAGAGAGCAUCAAUACAAACAAACUGGAAAAUCGAAAUCUAAUCCAUCCAAAUAAUAAACUUAUUACAAAACAAUGGAGACGGCAAUUUGAGUAACAAUUCAAGACUGUAAUUUAACAAAAAGCUUCAUGAUGCUUUAUGAAAUGAAAAUUGUUUACACAAAACAAUAAAGAAUGAGCUCAUAAGCAUGGUCUUUUAGUCUGUAUGAAGACGUAAUUUUACUUAAUUAAUUGAAACUAAUAAUAUUAAACAAGAGGAGCUAAUUGAUUGAGUCUUGGAUCGAGACGUAAUGUUACUUAAUUCUGAAUCAAUUGGUUAUAUGUACUUAAUUUGCUUGUUUGUAUCACUAAUUACUACUGCCUCCCGGCGUAAAUCUCAAGGGAAGUGGAAUUAACAAAGAUUAAUAUCAUAAUCUAAACUUCAUUUCUUGCAAGCAAUAUAAUAAAACUAUACCCAAGUCUCAGGUUUAAUUUAGUUUCCCUUUGAUUUUCAGCUCCACAACCAUUAUCUUUUAGAUAGCCAAAGGUCAUUUUCCAGGCUAAAAGACCACUAAAACUCGCAACGUCCACUGCCAAAACAGAAAUAUCCCAUGAUUUUCCUCAAGGCCUUUUCAAGGUAUACAAAGAUGGCCGCAUAGAGAGAUAUUGGAACAUUGACUUCGUUUCAGGAGGCGUCGACACAGAAACAGGGGUCCAUUCCAAAGAUGUUGUGAUCUCACCAGUGACCAACGUCAAGGCUCGUAUUUUCCUCCCAAAAAUCGACGGCCCAGCUAAAAAGCUCCCUCUCCUCGUCCACUAUCAUGGUGGUGGCUUUUGCAGAGGCUCACCAUUUACUUCUGCCUUGAAGAAUUUUCUUUCAACCCUAGCCACCCAAGCCGAUGUCACCGCUAUAUUGACUACAGGUUAGCACCUGAACACCAAUUACCGAUUGCAUACGAUGAUUCAUGGGCAGGGCUUAAGUGGAUCGUGAAGCACUCUAAUGGUAAUGGACCCGAACCAUGGAUUAAUGAAUAUGCGGAUCUCGGGCGGGUUAUUUUAGCCGGCGAGAGUGCUGGAGGCACCAUAGCCCAUUAUGUGGCUGUCCAAGCUGGGGCUGCGGGAUUGGCUGCCGUGGCUAUAGAAAGGUUACUAAUAGUGCACCCAUAUUUUUGGGCUAAGGAGCCAGACAAGUUCUACCAAUAAAUAUGUCCAACAAGUUCUGGGGCAGAUGAUCCAAAAUUGAACCCGGCAGUGGAUCCGAAUUUGUCGAAAUUUAAGUGUGAUAAAGUGUUAGUUUGUGUGGCAGAAAAAGGAUAAGCAUAGAGGCAGAGGUAUGGCUUAUUAUAAGCUAUGAGCGAGUGUGGAUGGGGUGGUACUGUGAAUUUUUAUGAAACUGAAGGGGAGGACCAUUGCUUUUAUUUGCUGAAUCCCAAGAGCGAGAAUAUCGAGCCCCUGGUGAAAAAAAUUGUUGAUUUCAUACGGCUGGAUUGAUUUUUUGAGUUUUAUUAAGUGGGAAUCAACAACUUAAUUUUCAGCAAUGGUGAGAGCAGAAAAAUAAUGGUUGAAUUUAAGUUUGUUUGGAUUGUAUUUUGUUUUUUAAUUUUUUAAUAUAUGUACUUUCAAAUGCCAUAUAAAAUGUGCCAUUAUGUUUAUUGCAUUCUUUUGGGCCAUUUUGGCUUGGCAGCACUUUUGUUUUUUAAAUAUUGGUGAAAUAAUACAAAAAAAAAUAAAAAAUAGUGAAAUAAUACAAUUUAUACAUGUCAAUGAAUGGAAAAUGCAAUAUAACUCAGUUUAUGCAGGUCGUGAUUGAAAAAUACUAUACUUAUAACUUGUUGCUAUUAGAAUAACAACUUCUAUAAAAACAUUUAUGAAAAAAACAAGAAACAUAAGAGAGAAAGGAAUCUAAAAAGGAAAGGAUAACUCUUAAAAAGAAUGCCAUCAACAAUAAUCCAAGUGAGUUACAUUUGUUUCUACAGAUGACGAAUAACUUACUUGCUUUUGGUGCUAAUUGUAAUUGUGAUUCACUAGGAUUGUUGUCGUUGAUCUUAUUUGUUGUUAUUGUAUUUAUCCCGUCAAAAUCUUUUUGUUGUUGUAGAAGUCAUUAUUCUGAAUAGCAACAAGCUAUAAAUAUCGUGUUUUUCUAAUUGCGACAUGUACAAACUAUGAUAUUGCACUAAUUAUUUUUAAUUAUAUGUUAUUCUACUAAUAUUCUUCAUUUAAUGUGCUAUUUUUUUUAAUCAUUCUUUCGCUUCCCUUAUUUCUUCAUUCUAGGUGCAAACAAAGUAAAAUAUCAUAAAGUAAAUAUUUCAUGUUUAUAUUUAGUCAACUAAUUUGGUUUAAUUAAAAAAAUACCUUUUUAAAAGCCAACUUUAAUAAAGAACAACAAUAAAAAAAAACCCUAAAAUAACCCAAGUUAUUUUCCAAAUUAAUGAGAAAUCUUGUAGAAAACAAAUAAAAAUAUAAUGGAGUUCAAUAUUUAAUUAAAUAAAUACUAAAAGAUAAAAUUAAAAAAAACACAAGUUUAAAAAAAAGAAAAAAAAAAGAGUAAGCAAACUUAGAAAUAUUUUCUAAACCUGAAUUAAUAUUUCAAAUUCAGAAAUCAUAAAAUUCUAGACUCCAACUUAAUAUAAAAACUCAAUCUCUAAUUAAUUUAAUAUUAAAUAAUGUAAUAAAUUUUCUCGAAUGGGAUUAAUCUUACCAUUUAAAAAAAGUGUGAUGAUACUCGGGUAAGAAAAAAAAAUGUUAGAAAAACUUGAAAUUUUGACGUUUGAAUAUAUAUUCAAUUUUGACGUCUUCAAGAUCUUGGACUUGCUGGGGGCCUAAGGACCGAGCUUGAAAAUCUCAAGCGCACGUUCAGAACCAUUCAAGCUGUGCUGCAAGAUGCAGAGGAGAAGCAGUGGAAGAGUGAGCCUAUCAAGGUGUGGCUCAGCGACCUCAAGGAUGCAGCUUAUGUUGUUGACGAUGUACUGGAUGAGUUUGCAAUUGAAGCUCAGUGGCUUCUGCAGCGAAGAGAUCUCAAAAAUCGAGUAAGAUCCUUCUUUUCUUUUGGUCAUAAGCCACUAGUUUUUCGAUUGAAAAUGGGGCUUAAAUUGAAAAAUGUGAGAGAAAAACUGGAUGCCAUUGCCAAUGAGAAAAACAAGUUCAAUUUAACACCACGAGUUGGGGACACAGCAGCUGAUACCUACGAUUGGCGGCUUACCAGCUCACUCGUGAAUGAAUCAGAAAUUUAUGGAAGAGGCAAGGAGAAAGAAGAACUAGUUAACAUCCUGCUCGCAAAUUCAGACAACCUCCCUAUUUAUGCUAUAUGGGGAAUGGGGGGACUCGGGAAAACAACACUUUCUCAAAUGGUCUACAAUGAAGAAAGGGUUAAACAACAUUUCAGUUUGAGGAUCUGGGUGUGUGUAUCUACUGAUUUCGAUGUAAGAAGAUUAACAAGAGCCAUCAUAGAGUCCAUUGAUGGUGCUUCAUGUGAUAUUCAAGAAUUGGAUCCCUUGCAACAACGCCUCCAACAAAAGUUAACUGGAAAAAGGUUUUUGCUUGUAUUAGAUGAUGUGUGGGAUGAUUAUGAUGAUAGGUGGAAUAAAUUGAAAGAGGUAUUAAGGUCCGGAGCUAAAGGUAGUGCUGUGUUGGUAACUACGCGUAUUGAGAUGGUUGCUCGUAGAAUGGCAACAGCUUUUGUCCAGCACAUGGGGAGAUUGUCUGAAGAAGAUUCUUGGCAUUUGUUUCAACGGCUUGCAUUUUGGAUGAGAAGGAAAGAGGAGUGGGCACACCUGGAAGCCAUUGGAGUAUCAAUAGUGAAGAAGUGUGGUGGUGUUCCUUUAGCUAUAAAGGCACUCGGGAACCUAAUGCGGCUAAAAGAUAAUGAAGAUCAGUGGAUAGCUGUCAAAGAAAGUGAGAUUUGGGAUCUAAGAGAAGAAGCAAGCAAGAUCUUACCUGCUUUGAGGUUGAGUUACACUAAUCUAUCACCACAUUUGAAGCAAUGCUUUGCGUAUUGCGCUAUAUUUCCAAAAGAUCACGUGAUGAGGAGGGAGGAGCUGGUUGCUUUGUGGAUGGCAAAUGGCUUUAUUUCUUGCAGAAAAGAAAUGGAUUUGCAUGUCAUGGGUAUUGAGAUAUUCAAUGAACUAGUGGGAAGGUCAUUUCUGCUAGAGGU
rnacentral:lncRNA from 1 species